rnacentral:rRNA from 1 species
GACGAACGCUGGCGGCGUGCUUAACACAUGCAAGUCGAACGGUGAAGCGCCUUCCUUUUUGGUGGGUGUGGAUGAGUGGCGAACGGGUGAGUAACACGUGAGUAACCUGCCCCCUUCUUCUGGAUAACCGCAUGAAAGUGUGGCUAAUACGGGAUAUUCUGGGUCUGUCGCAUGAUGGGUCUGGGAAAGAUAUUGUUUCGGUGGGGGAUGGGCUCGCGGCCUAUCAGCUUGUUGGUGGGGUGAUGGCCUACCAAGGCGGUGACGGGUAGCCGGCCUGAGAGGGGGGGCGGCCCCAGGGGGAGGGGAACCCGCCGAGGCCCCCGCGGGGGGGAGGGGGGGGGGAUUGUGGACAGGGGGCGGCGGGCUUGGGGCAGCGCCGCCGGGUGGGGGAGGGGGCCCGGGGGUUUGGGACCCUUUUCGGCCGGGGAAGGAGGCCGGCUGUUUUUGUGGGGGGGUGGAGGGUGGCUGAUAAAGAGGCGCCGACUAACUACGUC